CGUUAUCAUGUAAUUUUGUAUGGACGGGUAACUUAUAAGUAACAGCACUUUAGAUUGUAUGGAGCAUCACCUACACUUCUCCUGUACAUCUCCAUCAUCAUGUUCCCAGAGGCAGUACUUGGGAGAAACGUUGGUUUCAUGGGUGCGGAGUUUUGCCUCUGCCCCACAUGAAAUAAGGAACUGAAGUAACAAAGUAUUGGACAAAUACUUAACCCUUCGCAGUCUCUGUCGGACUGAGUCCGACAUUUAAAUAUCUGAGUUCUGGUCCGAUGUGGGACUGAGUCCACCACGUAUUUUACGAAUUCUUUACGUGGUAUGGAGUCAAACAGUGUCAGCAUAUCACUCAAGCCUUCUUCUUUGCACUAGUUCUAUCCUAGUUUUCCUGGUAAGACUAUGUACCUUAUAACAGUGAAUGGCGGCAGGAGAAAAAAGUCAUUUUAUUCUGACACAUGUCCAAAGAAGCCAGGACUCCACAUCAGUUGUUUUGCCAUACAUCAUAUAGUGAAGGAAUACCAUCGGGACCUGGGUUAUAAUUUGGAGGUGCAUGGACUUAAAAAGAAGAAAUGUAGCUGUUCAAAUAGAGAACAUCCUAAUGAUGGAGGCAGCAGUGGCCUCUGAAAUGUUAGUAAACUUGUACCAGGCUACAAAUUGCACAUCACUACAACCCAGAAACCAGCCAUCUUUCUACUCACUACCAUGAGAACAAAUUGUGAAUGACAAACGGAUGCAAUUGGGAAAUACGUCAUGUGGGACGAGUUUCGUGGUAUUUGGUUUCUCGGCAUCAAAGUAGCAGUUCUGUUGGCUAUGCAGAUCAAAGUGGAGGAAAAGAUGGAAGGAAUGAUAGAUCAUAUGACACAUGAAGAAGGUAGGAUGAUGAUGGGAAUUGCUGGAGAAAUAAAACUUCAGCAUUUGCAUUUCAGGAAAUGUGACAUUUAUAUCUUGAAGCAUAACCAAAGCUGGAUAUUGUCAAGAUAGCCAUCUAAUGGCAACAUUAUCCAACACAAGGAUAAAGUUUGAAAUAUGAGGGUCGCUCAUUAAA